CUUGUUUUUUUUUUUUUUGUCACCCAUUUUAUAGGUUUUUUUUAUUGGAGAGGUGGGGUGAGUAAGGGAAAAGAAUUGAGACAAGAUGGCCGCUCAUUGUAUCCACCAGAGGGCCUCCUCGUUAUAAUAUACACUUUUUAUAUUAAAAUAUAACCAAAAAAAAAAGGGGUAAAGAAAAUUUAAUUUACAAGUACCUUUUUUGCAUUCGCAAAUAUGUGAUUUCUUUUAGAUUUUGUCCAUUCCAAAUGAAGCUUCGAAAGGGUAAAAGACCCCACAAAAAAUUCUACCCACUUACAAAAAUCGGCCCUGGGUGAAGCUUUUAUUUUCUUUGUACUAUAUUGGAUAUAGACCAUACAUGAAAUGAUUGCAUAAGACAGUGAUAACCAAACUUAAUCGGGCAAGCUGCCUUAUUCAUUUCAGAAACUCGAAUCACGGGCUUGAUUUCUUAAUUUCAUUUCCCUUUCGUCUUUAAGAGGCUGACCCACAGGGUCCCCCCUAAGUUUGUGCAACUCCAUUAUAUAUAUAUAUAUAUAUAAGGCUUGUCUUUGACUCUGAAGAUUAAUGUGGAAUGCAGUAUUUCCAGUGGCUACCCAGCCCCAGCUGUGACCUUCAUAUUUUACCUCAUCCAGGGCAAGCAUAGCCAUAUAGCCUAAAUAAAUGUGUGUGUGUAUAUAUACAUUUCAUAUAAAAUAGAAUGGGUCACAAUGAAGACUGUAAGUUCUAUGUUAUUAGUAUUAUUAUGCAAAAUAAAAGGGAAAUGGGAAUGAACGAGAGACUGCUUCUAUUGCCUUAUAUUAUACAGAAAACUCGCUCCUGGAUGUUUUUGUCCCAAUUAGAUAUGCUCUCAUCAUAUGUUCUUUUAUGUUUGUUUGUUAACGACAUUGACUUAAUGUUCGUGUGUGUGUUCAUCUAGUGGAGUAAAAUAAAUCUAUUCUCAAACCACGCUGAAAUGGCCACUGUAUGGAAUGAUUGUUUAUUGUUAACAGAAACUAUAUAACUAUUCAUGUGAGAAUUACAUUUUUCAAGUGAAACUUUAUUGAGUGGAAGUGAUGUUCAAAUGAAAUAAAAUUUAAUGCUGUUUAUUGGGACAAAA